rnacentral:lncRNA from 1 species
AUGGAACUGGAGAACACUAUAAGUGAAAUGAGCCCGGAACAGAAAGGUUAUUUAUUUAUUUAUUUUUCAUUUAUUUAUUUAUUUAUUGAGAUGGAGUCUCGCUCUAUUGCCCAGCUGGAGUGCAGUGGUGCAGUCUCAGCUCACUGCAACCCCCGCCUCCCAGGUUCAAGCAAUUCUUCUGCCUCAGCCUCCCAAGUAGCUGGGACUACAGGCGCUCGCCACCAUUCCUGGCCUUUUUUUUUUUUUUUUUUUUUCAUAGAGAUGAGGUUUCUCCAUGUUGGCCAGGUCUCAAACUCCUGACCUCGAGUGAUCCACCCACCUUGGCCUCCCAAAGUGCUGGGAUGACAGGCGUGAGACACCACACUCAGCCUUUGUUGUUGUUGUUGUUGUUGCGACAGGGUCUGGCUCUGUCACCCAGGCUGGAGUGCAGUGACCUGAUCAUGUCUCACUACAGCCUCUACCUCCCAGGCUCAAGCAAUCCUCCCACCUCAGCCUCCCAAGUAGUUGGGACUACAGGUGCACACCACCAUGCCUUGCUAAUUUUUUUGUAUUUUUUGUAGAGAUAAAGCUUUGCCAUGUUACCUGGGCUUGUCUCAAACUACUGGGCUCAAGCAUUCACCUAUCUCUGCUUCCCAGAAUGCUGGGAUUACAGGCGUGAGACAGCAUGCCCGGCCCUUCAUUCCAUUUUUUUUUUUCUUUUUCAAGACAGAGUUUUACUCUUACACCCAGGCUGAAGUAAAGUGGUGAGAUCUCUGCUCACUGCAACAUCCUCCCACCAGGUUCAAGUGAUUCUCCUGCCUCAGCCUCCAGAAUAGCUGGGAUUACAGGCGCCUGUCACCACACCCUGCUAAUUUUUGUAUUUUUAGUAGAGAUGGGAUUUCGCCAUGUUGGUCAGGCCGGUCUCGAAUUUCUGACCUCAGGUGAUCCACCCACCUCAACCUCCCAAAGUACAGGCGUGAGCCACCACACCUGGCCCCUUCAUGCCUUUUUAAGGCUGAGUAAAAUUCUCCUAUAUGGUUAUAUUACAUUUGUUUAUUCAUUCAUUGACCAAAAGUCCACUUGGGGCCAGGGAUGCUAGCUCAUGCCUGUAAUCUCAACACUUUGAGAGGCCAAGGUGGGAGGAUCACUUGAGCCUAGGAAUUCAAGACCAGUCUGGGCAACAUAGCAAGACCCCAUCUCUUAAAAAAAAAAUUAGCCAGGCAUGAUGAUGCAUGCCUGUAGUCCCAGCUACUUGGGAGGCUGAAGUGGGAGGAUCACUUGAGCCUGGGAAGUUGAGGCUGCAGUGAGCAGUGAUCGCACCACUGCACUUGAGUCUGGGUGACAGAGUGAGACUGCCUCAAAAAAUGUUUUAAAAAAUACACUUGUAUUGGCUGUUGCAAAUGAUGGUGCC